rnacentral:sRNA from 1 species
UAUUUUGAGGUGUCUAUUGUGGACAGUGGAGUCCGGGGCACCAUUGCUGUGGGGCUGGUCCCUCAGUACUACAGCUUGGAUCACCAGCCUGGCUGGUUGCCUGACUCUGUAGCCUACCAUGCUGAUGAUGGCAAGCUGUACAAUGGUCGAGCCAAGGGCCGCCAGUUUGGGUCAAAAUGCAACUCCGGGGACCGGAUUGGCUGUGGCAUUGAGCCUGUGUCCUUUGAUGUGCAGACCGCCCAGAUCUUCUUCACCAAAAAUGGGAAGCGGGUGGGCUCUACCAUCAUGCCCAUGUCCCCAGAUGGACUGUUCCCAGCAGUGGGCAUGCACUCCCUGGGUGAGGAGGUGCGGCUGCACCUCAACGCUGAGCUGGGCCGCGAGGAUGACAGCGUCAUGAUGGUGGACAGUUACGAGGAUGAAUGGGGCCGGCUACAUGAUGUCAGAGUCUGUGGGACUGUAAGUAGCGGGUGGGAGGGUGGGAGGGGCUGGGUCGGAGGAGGCUGGGCAGAACACCUGUGGGCACAUGGUCAUGUCUGAAUUGCUGGGAAUGGGGAGUUGGGACAGUGUCCGUGUGGGGUUUGG